rnacentral:rRNA from 1 species
GACGAACGCUGGCGGUGUGCUUAACACAUGCAAGUGGAGCGACGAACCAGAGCUUGCUCUGGGGCAGAGCCGCGAACGGGUGAGUAACACGUGGGUAACGUACCCCGAUUACCGGGACAACCCGAGGAAACUCGGGCUAAUACCGGAUGUGCUCCCUCCCUAUGAGGGGAGUGAGUAAAGGAAGCUUCGGCCUCCGAAUCGGGAGCGGCCCGCGGCCUAUUAGUUUGUUGGUGGGGUAACGGCCUACCAAGACUGCGAUAGGUAGCUGGUCUGAGAGGACGAUCAGCCACACUGGGACUGAGACACGGCCCAGACUCCUACGGGUGGCUG